rnacentral:rRNA from 1 species
AAGCGCUUGUGACCAGACUUGGGCUCGGUUAAUCAUCCAGCGUUCUCGCUGGUGCACUUUGCCGGUCCAGGCCAGCAUCAGUUUGCCGCGGGGGAUAAAGGCUUCGGGAACGUGGCUCCUCCGGGAGUGUUAUAGCCCGCUGCGUAAUACCCUGCGGUGGACUGAGGUUCGCGCUCUGCAAGGAUGCUGGCGUAAUGGUCAUCAGCGA